rnacentral:rRNA from 1 species
GACGAACGCUGGCGGCGUGCUUAACACAUGCAAGUCGAACGGAAAGGCCCUGCUUUUGUGGGGUGCUCGAGUGGCGAACGGGUGAGUAACACGUGAGUAACCUGCCCUUGACUUUGGGAUAACUUCAGGAAACUGGGGCUAAUACCGGAUAGGAGCUCCUGCUGCAUGGUGGGGGUUGGAAAGUUUCGGCGGUUGGGGAUGGACUCGCGGCUUAUCAGCUUGUUGGUGGGGUAGUGGCUUACCAAGGCUUUGACGGGUAGCCGGCCUGAGAGGGUGACCGGCCACAUUGGGACUACGGUACGGCCCAGACUCCUACGGGAGGCAGCAGUGGGGAAUAUUGCACAAUGGGCGGAAGCCUGAUGCAGCAACGCCGCGUGCGGGAUGACGGCCUGCGGGUUGUAAACCGCUUUCGCCUGUGACGAAGCGUGAGUGACGGUAAUGGGUAAAGAAGCACCGGCUAACUACGUG